rnacentral:ncRNA from 2 species
UAAUCCGGCCCCGCGUCAGGUUCCCCGCAAGGGGAUCAAAAGGGAACCCGGGUGAAACCCCCGGGGCUGCCCCUGCAACUGUAAGCGGCGAGCCAUCCGGCCACUACGCCAUUGGGACCGAAAAGUCCUGAGAAGGCGGCCGGAACGGCGCCGACCCGCGAGCCAGGAGACCUGCCUGUCGCCGUCGUUCUUC